rnacentral:rRNA from 1 species
UACGAAGGGGGCUAGCGUUAAUCGGAAUUACUGGGCGUAAAGCGCGCGUAGGCGGCUUUGCAAGUCGAGUGUGAAAUCCCCAGGCUCAACCUGGGAACUGCAUUCGAGACUGCAUAGCUAGAGUAUGGGAGAGGGAAGUGGAAUUUCAGGUGUAGCGGUGAAAUGCGUAGAUAUCUGAAGGAACAUCAGUGGCGAAAGCGACUUCCUGGACCAAUACUGACGCUCAUGUGCGAAAGCGUGGGGAGCAAACAGG